UGUAACAGCUCUAUAUUUUCACUCCUACUAUGGAGUUUGACUGGACUAUUAUUAGUAGUAAACUGCUCCAUUUAUUACUAAUUUAUUUUUUAUGAUAGAACUUCUAAAUCGACGAUCGGCACCGUUAAAUAUGAUCUAGACUAUUUAAAUUAUGUAGAAAUCAAAUUUUAUGAUUUUUUGGCAUCACUAACUGAACGAUCAAAGGGUCACAAAAUUUAUAAUUUUAAUGGCCGAUAUGGUGCGUUUGCUCGUUUAACGAUAUAGAAAAGUUCAAAUCAACUAAAUUCUUGUUAAAAUUUUUUUUAAACUAUUUAAAAUAAGAUCUAGACUCUAGAUCUCAAAUAUAAAAAUUGUAUCAUCACUUUUUGAAGGAUAUUCAUUUUCAGCCAUUCAUUUUUCUGUUUACUUGAUGGACAAGAGAACAAUAUCGAAAAUGUGUGAAAUUUGAUUUUCAGAUAGUUUAAAUAGUUUAGAUCAUGUUGAACGGCGUCAAUCAUCAAUUUGGAAGUUCUAUCAUCGAAAACAAAUCGGUAGUAAACCGAGCUGUUUACUACCGAUAGUAUUCUAGCAAAACUCCCUUACUACGCUAUAAAAUAACUAUGAUUCUCAGUGUAAGUGACAAAAAAAAGUUGAUAAUUGAUAUUCGAGAUUUUAAAUUUUAAUUUUAAUUGAUUCAUAUUUUUAACUAAGUUUAUUUUUUUAAAAAAUAAACGAAGCGGAUACCAUGUUACCUUUCUUUAAAAAAGAAAACUAUGGUUCUGUAUUUUCGCUCGUAAGUAAAUUAAAGAUAAUUUAAUUAUCUGAUUCAAAUUAAAUAUUUUUUGAUAGUAAAAUUAAAUUUUUAAAAGGUUAAAUAGUUGAUUCAAAAUAAUUUAUAAUUUAGAUAAUUUUUUAAUAUAUCUUUUUGUUAAAAAAUUGAUAAAAUAUAUAAUAAAUAAAUCUGAGCCAUAAGAAGCGUAGUGUAUGAGAUUUACAUAUAUAUUAUUUGUGGAUUACGUCUCUUGUACUUUUGAAAGUAUGGACGCUUCCGUGUUUAUAAGUUUUUUUUGAUAUUCGGCCCCCUUAGGCAUAAUUUAUGUUAUUAGAAUAAUUUAUAAAUCAAAUUUCAUAACUUUUCGACAUAAUUUACCAAGUGAUUAAGAAGUCUAAAAAAAUGAUUAUCUUAACAGUUGAAGUGGUUUGUUUUUAAGUUCAACCGUGUAGAAUAAUCUAAAUUAUAUGAAAUUUUAAUAGAAAAUUCUAUUUAAUAUUAAUAGCAAGAUCGAUUCUUCGGAUUUAAAUUUUGAAUUUUUUAUUAUUAUUUUUUUAUAAGAUUUUUAUUUUUAACUGUUCAUUUUGAGGCUUCUCUAUCACUACAUAAAUUAAGUCAAAAAUUAUAAAAUUUGAUUAUAUAGUUCAAUUAUGUUUAAUGGAACCGAUCGCUGAAUCGAAUAUUCUAUCAUCAAAAAUAAUUUAGAAACUUGAAGACCUCCGUACUUUCGAAAGCAUAAGAAUCUAGCUCAUUAUUAGUAUAAAGGAUAAAUUUUAAAUACCACCCCAGUGGUUUUGCACUUUCUUGUUUUAGUACCAUGUAAUUUAAAGUGUAUCAAUUUAGUACUCUGUGGUUUCAGUUUUCUCUUUUCGUCAGUUUCUCCGUUAACUUUUCGUUAAAUUAUAUACAAAAAAACUUCAGAUCCUCCAUCUAUAGUUUAUCGAAUAUUUACUUUAAUAUCAUUUAGUUUAAACGUUUUCACUAGUUUAAUGAAAAGAUUUAGUGGAGGGGAUAACAAAAAAAUAAAAUAAAAUUAUAGAGUACGAAAGUGGUACAUCGGUCCUAGUAACCAUUUCACAAAGUGUCCUGAAUGCUUUAUCCCGGACAAAAAUUUUAUGGGCACCGUGCCCAAACAAUUUGUUUGGUUUUAUCCCUAUCCCGCCGGUUAGUGGGUUUUUCAUUAGUUGGUCAUCCACCUUUAAAUUACAGAAUAUUAAAGUGAAAAAAUACGAAAUCAGAACAGUAAUAUUUGAAGUUUCCCUAGUAUAUAUGUAGCAUUGUUGAUUGUUGAUAUGAUAUGUAACAAUCGAUGUU
rnacentral:lncRNA from 1 species